UACGUAGGGUGCGAGCGUUAAUCGGAAUUACUGGGCGUAAAGCGUGCGCAGGCGGUUUUGUAAGCCAGAUGUGAAAUCCCCGGGCUUAACCUGGGAAUGGCAUUUGGGACUGCAAGGCUUGAGUGCGGCAGAGGAGACUGGAAUUCCUGGUGUAGCAGGUGAAAUGCGUAGAUAUCAGGAGGAAUACCGAUGGCGAAGGCAGGUCUCUGGGCUGACACUGACGCUGAGGAGCGAAAGCAUGGGGAGCGAACAGG
rnacentral:rRNA from 1 species